GACGAACGCUGGCGGCGUGCUUAACACAUGCAAGUCGAACGGAAAGGCCCUGCUUUUGUGGGGUGCUCGAGUGGCGAACGGGUGAGUAACACGUGAGUAACCUGCCCUUGACUUUGGGAUAACUUCAGGAAACUGGGGCUAAUACCGGAUAGGAGCUCCUGCUGCAUGGUGGGGGUUGGAAAGUUUCGGCGGUUGGGGAUGGACUCGCGGCUUAUCAGCUUGUUGGUGGGGUAGUGGCUUACCAAGGCUUUGACGGGUAGCCGGCCUGGGAGGGUGACCGGCCACAUUGGGACUGAGAUACGGCCCAGACUCCUACGGGAGGCAGCAGGGGGGAAUAUUGCACAAUGGGCGGAAGCCUGAUGCAGCAACGCCGCGUGCGGGAUGACGGCCUUCGGGUUGUAAACCGCUGUCGCCUGUGACGAAGCGUGAGUGACGGUAAUGGGUAAAGAAGCACCGGCUAACUACGUG
rnacentral:rRNA from 1 species